UCUUAAGCGGCGUCAUCUGCUACGGCUACGCGCGCUGGCCGCAUUGUCAGGAAGCGUGCUACUGUCAGGGGCAGUGCGCCGAUGUCAUCGUUACUGCGUGAAAUGAGCCGGUAUUCUUUACUAAGCGUUGUGCGACGCCCCCUGAUGCGCCUCGAUGACAAUCAGGGACGCCAUUUCAGACCCAGCAAAUUUGGAUGUCAGCAGAAUAAAAGUCUUGCUGGAGGCAACGCUGGAAGCUCGGCGGAAAAGCCCGGAGAAUGAACUUCCUGUGUACUUUCUAAACCCAGACGUGCUUGCACUUGAGGCCGAACUGAGGUUCGAAGCUUCUUAUGAAGACAUGCUAGCCAAGCUUCAACAUAUUCGAAAGAUGCUGGGUCGAGCGAGCUUCAUCGAGAUUGACGAGUACCUUCGGCCAAAAAAAGCUGAAUUUGCCCUGAUCUCAUUGGAGACACAUGAACGAGGUGUGCCUAUUCCUGGCCCUUGUAUCAUCGCCCAAGAUGGACACAAAGUCGUCUGCAAGGGCCACACCAUUGAUCUGGCUGCGGGAUCAUCACUGGAGCAUGCUCUAAUCAUUUGCGUAACACUUUAUUUUAUCUUGGAUAUCACGUACCCAAAUGCAUUUGGUCAAACUUUGGGUUUGGUCCAGACAGCAUUAGCUAAGAGGGAGCCUUCUCCGCGCUGCUUGAUGUCACACAAACUUACGCUGUGUUUAAAACAGUUGAAACA